UAAUACGUAGGGGGCGAGCGUUGUCCGGAAUCAUUGGGCGUAAAGCGCGCGUAGGCGGUUUGUUAAGUCAGAGGUGAAAUCCUGCAGCUCAACUGCAGAACUGCCUUUGAAACUGACAGGCUAGAGUUUGGUAGGGGGAGUAGAAUUCCUGGUGUAGCGGUGAAAUGCGCAGAUAUCAGGAGGAAUACCCGUGGCGAAGGCGGCUCCCUGGACCAUAACUGACGCUGAGGUGCGAAAGCUAGAGUAGCAAACAGGAUUAGAUACCCUGGUAGUUCUAGCUGUAAACGAUGGAUACUAGGUGUGGGGAAUUAUCGACGUUCCCCGUGCCGAAGCUAACGCAUUAAGUAUCCCGCCUGGGGAGUACGGUCGCAAGAUUAAAACUCAAAGGAAUUGACGGGGGCCCGCACAAGCGGUGGAGCAUGUGGCUUAAUUCGACGCAACGCGAAGAACCUUACCAGGGCUUGACAUGUAAGUGGUACUGAACCGAAAGGGGGAUGGACCCCGCAAGGGGAGCUUACACA
rnacentral:rRNA from 1 species